UUCCAGUCUCCCCUACCGCACUCCAGCCCGCCCGUACCCGGCGCAGAUCCACCGUUAAGCGAUGGACUUUCACACCGGACGCGACGAACCGCCUACGAGCCCUUUACGCCCAAUAAUUCCGGAUAACGCUUGCACCCUACGUAUUACCGCGGCUGCUGGCACGUAGUUAGCCGGUGCUUAUUCGAAAGGUACACUCACCCGAAGGCUUGCUCCCGAUCAAAAGCGGUUUACAACCCGAAGGCCGUCAUCCCGCACGCGGCGUCGCUGCAUCAGGCUUGCGCCCAUUGUGCAAUAUUCCCCACUGCUGCCUCCCGUAGGAGUCUGGGCCGUAUCUCAGUCCCAAUGUGGCCGGUCGCCCUCUCAGGCCGGCUACCCGUCGUAGGCUCGGUGGGCCGUUACCCCGCCGACUACCUGAUAGGACGCGACCCCAUCCCAUACCGAUGAAAUCUUUCCCGACACCCCAUGCGAGGAGUCGGAG
rnacentral:rRNA from 1 species